ACCAAACCAGUCAAAAUCCGAUUCCAACCAACCACCAACCACCAACCACAUCCCCAAGUGCGAAUCCGCCCGCCCAACGCCGACACGGCACCAGAACACCCCGUCACAGCGGCGCGCCUCCGAGCCAACCCCCCGCGCGGCGGCCACCCUCUACCAACGUCCUAGGAUCCCGCCGGUUGCGCUGCGCCGCUGCCGAGGGAGAGAUGCGGCGGUCGUCGAGCGGGGCGCGCGUGUCGGAGGGCGGCGACGCGUCCUCGUCCUCUUCCUCGUCGGGCCACCACGGCGACGGCACGGCGCUCCCGACGUUCGACCCGCAGUCGGCGGCGGGCCGGCGGGAGGCGUCGCGGACCCGGGCGCUGGGGCGCGCCGUGCACUGCAUCCCGCUGUUGCUGCUACUCUGCGCCCUCGUGCUCUGGCUCUCCGCCGCCUCCACCUCCCCGGUCCACCUCGACUGAUAGUAGAAGGGUAUGGCAAAUGGACUUAAUAUCUGGUUUCCACAGAGUUCCCCCCAAAAGGGUACGGUGAAGUAGAUCAGGAAUGAUCAGGUGGUACAGGAGGCUUUAAGUUGGUGAUUGGAAGGUUCAGUACAGCAGCAACCUCACCUACUAGGUGGCUACUUUGGAAUAUUCUUUUCAGUUUUCACUCCAGAUUGGAGCUGGUGUGAUUUGGCCCACCAAUGCAAUUGUAUACGAAAAAACUGACCCGUUGAGGAAGUAUAUGUCAAUCAAAAGGGGGAAAAAAGCGAAUUUAUUAGUAAGUUUUCUUUCUGAACCGGGUUUACACCCCUUUCCAUUACUUAUUAACGGAAAUACAUCAGUUCCAGAAUUCACAGAACGGGAAAGAAAGUAACGCGGCUUCAACGCACUGCUCAGGAAACCUGGCGCAUUCGCCCGCCAUUGAAACGAAUGCUACGGAGCGAAAACCUGGCAACACCAUAAUUCAAAACACAACCCU